ensembl:misc_RNA Metazoa_SRP Metazoan signal recognition particle RNA
GCCGGGCGCAGUAGCACGUGUCUGUAGUCCCAGCUACUCAGGAGGCUGAGGUGGGAGGAUCGCUUUAGCCCAGGAGUUCUGGACUGCAGUGAGCUAUGCUAAUAGGGUGUCCGAACUAAGUUUGGCAUCAAUAUGGUGACCUCCUGGGAGUGGGGGACCACUAGGUUGCCUAAGGAAGGGUGAACCGGCCCAGGUCAGAAAUGGAGCAGGUCAAAACUCCUGUGCUGAUCAGUAGUGGGAUUGCGCUUAUGAAUAGCCACUGCACUCCAGCCUGGGCAACAUAGUGAGACCCUGUCUCUU